GCNGUGGCGAACAACGAUAAAGCCUCGGGGAGCUGUAAGCAAGCUUUGAUCCGGGGAUGUCCGAAUGGGGAAACCCGGCUGUCUUCAUCGACAGUCACUUUCUGCUGAAUACAUAGGCAGAACAGAGGCAUACCAGGGGAACUGAAACAUCUAAGUACCCUGAGGAAGAGAAAACAAUAGUGAUUCCGUCAGUAGCGGCGAGCGAACGCGGAUUAGCCCAAACCAAGGAGCUUGCUCCUUGGGGUUGUGGGACGUCUCACAUGGAGUUACAAANAACCGGUUAGAUGAAGAGGUCUGGAAAGGCCCGCCAGAGAAGGUAAAAGCCCUGUAGUUCAAAACCUGUUCCCUCCGAGACGGAUCCCGAGUAGUGCGGGGCACGUGAAACCCCGUAUGAAUCCGGCAGGACCAUCUGCCAAGGCUAAAUACUCCCUGGCGACCGAUAGUGAAGCAGUACCGUGAGGGAAAGGUGAAAAGCACCCCGGAAGGGGAGUGAAAUAGAUCCUGAAACCGUGUGCUUACAAGAAGUCAGAGCCCGAUCUAUGGG
rnacentral:rRNA from 1 species